rnacentral:lncRNA from 13 species
CUGACAGCGGCGGCACCACCCAGCCAGAACUGCAUCCACAUCACAGAAUAGUUCCAGACAUACAGAUUGCCCCAAGGGUGUCGAGGAGCCAAAGGCAGAACACUGACAAAUAAUAUAAUAUAUCAGGAUGUUCUACAUUACUAACGUGUUUGUAAUGUCAAACACUAACUGUGUUUGACAUUACUAACAUGUUUGACUGAUUCCAGAAGCUUGACUGAGACGGACAUGCCCUUAUCACCAUCUCAAAAAAACAGACCCCCAGGCCAAAGCCCUAGGCCGUGUCCAAAAUCUGUCUUGCCUACUACUUACUUAAACUGCACACUGUGUACUAAUCAAAAAACAUACUAUUUUGAACUGUUUAGUGAAAAUGAAUGCAGUAAGCAACAAAUAUCAGCAUACUAGGCUCCUCCCACUGAGAUGAGCUUUGUGAUUUACAUAGAUUCCCUGAAAACCCCACUCUAACUCAGUUAAAUUAACAGUAUUACACUUUUUGAAGACUUUUGACCAGCUAAUAGCCUAACCACUGCUCAAGCAACAUCAUGGACUCAACUACUGUUGCUGCAGGGUUAUUUUGCUGUGACAAUAUAGGUCAGAAACACAACCCCCAUGAACACACACAUAGGAGGUGAAUAGCAAACUCAAGUUAACUGGCCUUCCUGUGUCCGUCUGAUGCAGAUCACAGAGUAUCCGAUGUUCACAGGAAUAUCCAUGUUACACCGUCGCAGUUCCUCACAGUUGAAAAGAAAACACGAGCUUUGUUUCAGAUAGGAGAUCUUGAAAGCCUAAAAAGAUAUCGAUGAUGAAUUACUACAAUGUAACAUAUUCUUCACAUUCUUUAAGAAAGGUGGAAAUCAGGAUAGAUUUGCUUGCGAUAAUUCAACGUUUUAUACAGAGAGUGAUACAUCAUAAGGUAAUGGGUCUUAGAAUCAUGGUUUGAGAUUCAGAUUUGGGAAUAUAUACCCUCCCAUUUGAUAUGGAAAUAAUUAUAUAUAUAUAUAUAUUUAUAUAUAUGACUGUGUGAAAGCACUCCGUCAUAUUGACUGGGCCACACAUUCAGAUAACUUUUUCACAUCAUUCAAGCAGAGAGAGAUGGGGACCAUUCUGACAAACAAAAAAAUCCAUGGUUGUGCCAUACUUAGACUGUAACACAAACUUUACUUGUAAUCUCAAUUCAGAAAAAGUAACUUCUGGCCAGAAGUAAGCAGACAUGAUGUUAAUUAGAUCUCCCCCAUAAACGUAAGGAUUCGGAACCCAGUGAAAUAGACCCAUUCUUUUUUAACUGACUUUUCAUUGAACUCAGAAAGAAUGCAUGUUGGUGUGUACAGCACUGUGGAUGAAUGUCUUUUGUUCAGGUUGCGUGGAGUCUAGUUCAGAGUCAAUGCUACUCAGACAGGACAAAGAGAGGCCAGUGUAUAUCUCCCAGUCCCCUACAUGCUUUUCAAACCAACUCCACUGGGCUGUGAGGACUUAGUAGGAGAGGUCAGUAAUGCCCCUGUAUCGCUAUGGAGCCUGUGGUCUUUAGCAGCACCAUACAGCAUUCUCUAGCCAGAUAAAAGGCCAGACUGUGCCCUCUGAAGUCUCUACUGUUGUGUUGAUCCCAGACAACAUCCCUUGGGGCUGUACUGCAGCUCAUUGGAUUGGCUUUGACAGGUAAGCCUGCUGCAAUCUGCCCUGGACUGUCACCCUGCAGCCAGACUUGUCAUGAGAUCAAGACCGGCCUCCCUCCUCCUGGUCCCACUGUGUGUCAGCCGCCGGGGCUCGUGAAUGUCCAAUCACCUCAGCCCUUUUUAGAGCAGCCGCCGAAUCAAAAGCUCUCGAAAUAUGUCACAUUCCACAUGACACCCAUCUCGGUGGCGGCUGACUUUCUCACAGAACUUAAACCCUAUUUUCUUUGAAUGAGAGUCCUCCUUUGUUGUGCGAAUUGUCCAUCCAGACCCUAGCAACUUCCCUAAAUCGGAAUGCCGCUGGAAUUCCAGGCUCCGCUGCCAACUCUGGCUACCUGGUAAAAGGGAUUAGAGCAGCUUUAUCCCUUAGUCAAGAAUGUGGAAUGGCUGAACUUCUGACCAAGUCAGUUUGACAUUUAAUGCGUCUGUUCUAGGGUGAUGCUCUGGCUUGUCGUUCUUAACCGCCGGCAAUUUCAUAAUAUUCAAAUGACCAAGGUAUUUGUCACCUGACAACACAAACAGCCAUUGGCAAAUAAUGUAGUGGUAAAUUCCAAUGCAAAUGCCGUCUUAACACGGCAAUGUUUUGGAAAUGGGCCCUGGCCUUUUGUGGAAACAAAAGCAAUUCCAGUGAAUAAAUCAUUAAAAAGGGAAAUGGGGAAAAAUGACAUGAAUAUAAAAUAUUCUGUUUGUAGGCCUAUGUUACUGCUUUAUGACAAUUGUCACAUUGACACAUUAAAUACGCUUUACAUGAAUUCCUGUAUGAAUGCAGCUUUUCACUGCAACUGACAUUUGUAGGGGGGGAAAGUAAGGGGGGGGGGGAAUAAGCAAAAGUGGCAGCGUGAGCGAGUCAUGGGAACUGGCACGUUCGGUGCAUGCCAGAGCAGGAGUGGACACGGGCUGUGCUGCAGCUUGUACCAGGGCCCUUUUCUCACCCCGUAACCCGAGUACUUAUGGAAAUGAGACUGAGGCCCUGCAGCUUGUACCAGGGCCCUUUUCUCACCCCGUAACCCGAGUACUUAUGGAAAUGAGACUGAGGCCCUGCAGCUUGUACCAGGGCCCUUUUCUCACCCCGUAACCUGAGUACUUAUGGAAAUGAGACUGAGGCCCUGCAGCUUGUACCAGGGCCCUUUUCUCACCCCGUAACCCGAGUACUUAUGGAAAUGAGACUGAGGCCCUGCAGCUUGUACCAGGGCCCUUUUCUCACCCCGUAACCCGAGUACUUAUGGAAAUGAGACUGAGGCCCUGCAGCUUCAACUGACUCUCAA